AUUGAACGCUGGCGGUAGGCUUAACACAUGCAAGUCGAGCGGAAACGAUGUAGCUUGCUACAGGCGUCGAGCGGCGGACGGGUGAGUAACGCGUAGGAACCUACCUAGUAGUUUGGGAUAGCCCAGAGAAAUUUGGAUUAAUACCGAAUACGCCCCACGGGGGAAAGCGGAGGAUCUUCGGACUUCGCGCUAUUAGAUGGGCCUGCGUAAGAUUAGCUUGUUGGUGAGGUAAUGGCUCACCAAGGCGACGAUCUUUAGCUGGUUUGAGAGGAUGAUCAGCCACACUGGGACUGAGACACGGCCCAGACUCCUACGGGAGGCAGCAGUGGGGAAUAUUGCACAAUGGGCGAAAGCCUGAUGCAGCCAUACCGCGUGUGUGAAGAAGGCUCUAGGGUUGUAAAGCACUUUCAGUAGGGAGGAAAGGUUGUAGAUUAAUACUCUGCAGCUGUGACGUUACCUACAGAAGAAGGACCGGCUAACUCCGUGCCAGCAGCCGCGGUAAUACGGAGGGUCCGAGCGUUAAUCGGAAUUACUGGGCGUAAAGCGUACGUAGGUGGUUUGUUAAGUUGGAUGUGAAAGCCCAGGGCUCAACCUUGGAACUGCAUUCAAAACUGAUGAACUAGAAUAUGGUAGAGGUAAGUGGAAUUUCCUGUGUAGCGGUGAAAUGCGUAGAGAUGGGAAGGAACAUCAGUGGCGAAGGCGACUUACUGGACCAAUAUUGACACUGAGGUACGAAAGCGUGGGUAGCAAACAGGAUUAGAUACCUGGUAGUCCACGCCGUAAACGAUGGUCACUAGCUGUUUGGANCCUUCNGNUCUGAGUGGCNNAGCGAACGUACUAAGUAGACCGCCUGGGGAGUACGUUCGCAAGAAUGGAACUCAAAGGAAUUGACGGGGGCCCGCACAAGCGGUGGAGCAUGUGGUUUAAUUCGAAGCAACGCGAAGAACCUUACCUACUCUUGACAUCCACAGAACUUUUCAGAGAUGAAUUGGUGCCUUCGGGAACUGUGAGACAGGUGCUGCAUGGCUGUCGUCAGCUCGUGUUGUGAAAUGUUGGGUUAAGUCCCGUAACGAGCGCAACCCUUGUCCUUAGUUACCAUCAUUUAGUUGGGUACUCUAAGGAGACUGCCGGUGACAAACCGGAGGAAGGCGGGGACGACGUCAAGUCAUCAUGGCCCUUACGAGUAGGGCUACACACGUGCUACAAUGGCUGGUACAAACGGUUGCGAACCCGCGAGGGGGAGCUAAUCUGAGAAAGCCAGUCGUAGUCCGGAUCGGAGUCUGCAACUCGACUCCGUGAAGUCGGAAUCGCUAGUAAUCGUGAAUCAGAAUGUCACGGUGAAUACGUUCCCGGGCCUUGUACACACCGCCCGUCACACCAUGGGAGUGGGUUGCUCCAGAAGUAGAUAGCUUAACC
rnacentral:rRNA from 1 species